rnacentral:rRNA from 1 species
GAGGAAUAUUGGACAAUGGAUGGAAAUCUGAUCCAGCCAUGCCGCGUGCAGGAUGACGGCCCUAUGGGUUGUAAACUGCUUUUGUAUGGGAGCAAUAAGCCCUUCGUGAAGGGUGAUGAGAGUACCAUACGAAUAAGCAUCGGCUAACUCCGUGCCAGCAGCCGCGGUAAUACGGAGGAUGCGAGCGUUAUCCGGAUUUAUUGGGUUUAAAGGGUGCGUAGGCGGUUGGAUAAGUCAGCGGUGAAAGUUUUCUGCUUAACAGGAAAAAUGCCGUUGAUACUGUCUGGCUAGAAUAUGGUUGCUGUGAGUGGAAUGUGUGGUGUAGCGGUGAAAUGCUUAGAUAUCACACAGAAUAUCGAUUGCGAAGGCAGCUCACAAAGCUAAUAUUGACGCUGAUGCACGAAAGUGUGGGGAUCAAAC